rnacentral:lncRNA from 1 species
AUAAAACCUAGUUUUAAGGAUUAUUAGGCCAAAGGUCAAAGUCACGAAUAAUUUGGGCAAAAGUCGGCUUCCGAUCAAUAACUGAAGAAUGCUUUUUCCUACUGUCAUCACAUUUAGUAGGAUGAUUGCUUGUGGUCAGUAGAUAAAUCGUAAUUGUCUUUUAGUCAAAGGUCAAGAUCACAGUAUCAUGACGACUGAAAAUGGUUUUCGUUUAACAAUUAAAGAACGUCUUGGCCUACAUCAAUUAAACUUCUUAGGACGACGGCAUGUGAUGAUCCUAAUGUUUUGGAAUCAGAGGGUCAAAGCUCAAGGCCACAAUGAUCUUGAGACCGAAAACUAUUUUCGCUCAAUAACUAAAGUGCGCCUUGAUCACCCAUUCAAACUUCAAACGGUGAAUGCCUAUACUCAACAAAUAACCCAUAGUGCUUUGAGGGUCAUUUGGUCAGAGGUCUAGAUCACAGGGACUUUGAGAUUAAAAAUGGUUUCUGCCCAGUAAGAACCCAGUCUACCGCCUUCGAACUUCACAGGAUGAUGUUUUUGGUUAGAAGAUGACCCUUAUUUUGUUAAAAAUCAGUAAGUCAAAGGGCAAGUUCAAAGUGACCUUAAGACUGAAAUGGGACAUACCACGAUGGGGGAUUCGUAUUUUACAAAAACCUCUCGUUAUAGUAUUGUAUCAAAGGUGUACUUGGACUUGGAAUUUAAGGAAAAUAUUACUUUUACAUAAGGUAGGUCUGGCUAGUCGUUAACUGUAAUAUCAUUAGUAUUCGCUGUAUACAAAUUAAAAAGGGUAAUGGUAGAUUUUGCGGAAGCACAGAGCAGAGCCAUACAUCGCAAAGUAGGCCCACAAUAAAUAGACCCGCAAGAAACUGCAGGCAUGCACGAACGCCCACCCGCCCGCACGCACGCACACACACACACACACACAUACACACACACGAACGCACUCAACAGACGCAAACACAAACUGAAACUCUAAGACACAGGAAGAUGUACCUUUUACGCCACAACAAACAUAAUGAUAUCAUCAUUGCCUGCCACUGGUCCGGUGUAAAAAAUACCAUUAAACCAUAAGGUGACGCUGUAUGGAUUUGAGAAAAGAUACACCGACUUGUUUGAACAAUUGUUCGGCAAACAUCCUCUGUAGUUUAUAACCACGACUGAUACGAUUCCAUCUUCCAUUUUCAUCUAGUUUAGUCUUUGCUACAGUAAUGGCCCUUACGCAACAAAGUCGUAUUUGUUACAUUCUACUGCCAUUAUUGGCAUAUUUGCAUGAGUGAUUUUCAAACGUUAACAUUUCAUCCGUGACAAAAUAUUCUUUUCACAGAUGAUCACGUUCUAUUACCAGCUCUAAAGCUAGGAGCACUACCAAAUCAAAUAUAAGCCUUCGCUGGUCACAAGUAGUCCUGAUAUAAAUAGUGCUUGUCUUUCUUCCUUUCCUCGUGCCCAUUCUCAAUAAGCAUCAUGUUUUCUUUUACCCUUUUAUCGUUUCAGUAUGUAUACGUAGCAUUCUAACAGAAUCGGCAUGUGCCUUUCUCAUGCGGCGUAAGAAUUUAUGUCUCGGAAAGAGAGAAUGGAGCAAAUUCAGCGUGUUGUUCUUAACGAACUGUAUAUACAGUUUUCUUAUAUAAAAGUGAUAAGGGUGCUACAGAUCCUGCUAACUACUUUACACAAAGUGUCAAAAAUACCUUAUAUAUAUAUCAUCAUGCAUAUUGGUCAUCAUGGAAUAAAAGUCAUCUCCUUGGCAUCUAUACGUCUGACGUCAUCAAAUUCCUGGAAAAGGAUAAAAAUCAACAGUCACUGCUUUUCGACUGUUCCCUGUGAAAAAACGUAAUUAUUCUCGGCUUUCAAAACAUAAUUACUGACCUUUUUAAUUGUACUCAUGAGAUAGAGAGUUUAUGUGAGUUUUGCACAAACAAAAUAAUGUAUAAAACUGACUUAAAGAAAUGUGUCUUCUCUUAGCAUAAGGGUUGUUUUCCGUUUAUUUUUGUCAGCAAAUAAACAAACGUUAGAAAUAACAGAUCAAGACGUACCGUAACAGUUUUUGUAAAGAUUGUAUUUUGGUCUUCAUUGUAAACAGUACAAUGUUUAAAUCAAUAUUUACUGUUUUUUACCUUGCAUCUUUUGCCUUUAAACGUGUCAGUCUGAUAUAAUUAACUAAAUAUUGCAUAACCACAUGUCAGUCUGGUAUAACUGACUAAAUCUUGCUUCACUUACCUAGACAUUUAUCAGUCUGGUAUAACUGACUAGAUUUUGCUUCAUUUACACUUACCUAGACCCCUAUCCGAUAAAGUAAACCAAAACAGUAUCCUCCACAUUUCUGACUAGGAUCUCCGUGACAGUUAUAGUUACAAUGGGCAUCUGGCCUCUUCUCGGUGACAGAAAAAUCAGCAGUGCUACCACAAAAGCAAUGACUACUAUACUGGAACAAAUAUAUGUUUAUGAUGUAGAUAUUAGUGUUAUGAAUCUUACGAAUCCAUUACGAAUAGUGUAUUAUGAUUGCUUCUGAAAUAAGUAACACGGACAGUUUACCAGAUUGCAGUUAAAACUUCCCAUAAUACGUUUUUGGUAUGCUUAUUUUACUUUGUGUGUUGGGGGAUUAAACAAAAUAAUCAAACCUUUCAAUUAAGAUGUACAAAUGUGGCUAUAAAAACAGUAGAAAAUGAUAAUAUGUAUUCAAAGUAUUCUAACGUAAAAGGUAUUGCCAAAGGUUUAUAUUAAAGAUAAUUAAUUAAUUAAUUAGGUAUCUUCCAUACACAUGCUUAAAACAUUUUGAUGAACAACACAACGUUAUUAAAACAGCAAACAAUGUAUUAAAAAGUAUAAUAUAUAUUAUGGCAAUUCCGUACAGAAUUAUACCAGGCUAUUCAAUACUUACAUAUAAUACAAAGAUAUCAUUUCUUUAAAACAGAAUUAUGGUUGUUAAAAAAGAGAAAUAUCAAAAAAUAAUAAUCAUAAGAUAAGGAGCAUACGACAUGUGUAGGAAAACCAAAACUAUUUUCUGUGAGUCGUUAACUUUCGCCGAUUACGUUGUGACGUCAAUCAACAAAAUUAAAUCCCAACGAAUUUGAAAAUUUUUAACUCAUUUUAUCUUUAUCAGUUGAAAUCCACAAUUCAAACCUAUUGCUGAAACAACGACACUUUAUGCUCCAGAAAUUUAAUUAUUUCACAGUAUGCCGAAAGUUUGGAUGUUCACAUCGUCGCAAUCUGACUAUAGUAUAUCUUUUACGUUACGCGUAGGAUCUGAAGACGAGCUAUUGAUUGCCUCGUUCUGACGACCCUUCCACUAGCCAAUCUAAAGGCUUACUUAGCUUGAAAACCUACAUUUAGCCUUGGCUUUUUAUAAUAACAAUUCUUAUGUCGUAAAAUGUCAGACCGGUUAGCUCAACCGAUAGGGCACUUGCUUAGUAAGCGAGGGGUCCUGGGUUCGAGCCCAGGGUACUGACUGCACAUUUUUCUUACUCUAAUUCGAACAAGUCGUCUGAUUGGUUCAAAUGAAAAUAGAUUUACGAAAAAAAGAUUAGCAAUAUUGGAAAUUCAAAAUAUACAGAAGACGAAUGUGAAUCUGUCAUCCUCAGAUCUUCGUUUAGAAGAUCAAUUACUUUAGUCAGAUUGACAUCGUCGUGAUGCGACAAUUUUCAAAACCAGAUUUUAUCUUGAAAAAUUUAUAGGAAUUGUACAUUUGAAACGCGUUUGAAAAAUGGAUUGGACUGAUAGAGCAGAAGUAAAUCAGUAAAUUCUUUUAAAGAAGAGCUUAUUUGACAUUGCUGUGACGAGUGUUUAAAACUGACAUAUUUCUAUCUCCCAUUUGAAGAUUACAAGGCUUAUAAGAGUUUGCCUAAUGUGUGUUUGCCUGACUGAAAUGCAAUAUUCGCUAGUUUUCCCUGUUGGAUAUUCUUCGUUGUAGUUAUAAAGUUUAUGGAGCGCACUGAGAAUAGAAUGAUUCGAAGAUGUUCUGCAUUUCUAUCUCUGAAAUUGAUAAUACACAAUUAUUAGGUUCACUGAAAAUAAGUUUGAUAUCUAUUUCACUUUAGCGUUACCUGAAUCAGUUUUGAAUAAGGAUGGUCGUAUAUAUGAAGACUUUGUCUAUGGUGGAAACUCGAAUUUGUUUCAGGUUUAACUAUUUCGGUUAUUAGGGCUUCCUGAGGCCUAAUCAAUAAGAUAGUGGGAACCAAAACGACAAAUACGCUCUUAAAAUGCGCCAUAUGACAAAAAAAAAAAAGUCAAAUAGGAUGAGGAUUUUACUUCAAAAUGAAUUAUGCAAUUGAAUUCAAUUAUUUAAAUGAUGAUAAACAAAAAUUACUUAUUUCAAUACAAAUACUAUGUUUAAGAA